rnacentral:miRNA from 1 species
AGGGGCCGAACAAUUCCAGA